UACGAAGGGGGCGAGCGUUGUUCGGAUUUACUGGGCGUAAAGGGCGCGCAGGCGGCGGAUCAAGUCAGAUGUGAAAGCCCCGGGCUUAACCUGGGAACUGCAUUUGGGACUGGUUUGCUAGAGAUCGGGAGAGGAGAGUGGAAUUCCCAGUGUAGAGGUGAAAUUCGUAGAUAUUGGGAAGAACACCGGUGGCGAAGGCGGCUUGCCAGAAUGCGCUCGACGGUGAGGGAUGAAAGCUGGGGGAGCAAACCGG
rnacentral:rRNA from 1 species